rnacentral:rRNA from 1 species
GACGUAGGGCGCGAGCGUUGUCCGGAUUUAUUGGGCGUAAAGAGCUCGUAGGCGGCUUGUCGCGUCGUUCGUGAAACCUGCAGCUCAACUGCAGGCUUGCGGUCGAUACGGGCAGACUAGAGUGCGGUAGGGGAGAUUGGAAUUCCUGGUGUAGCGGUGGAAUGCGCAGAUAUCAGGAAGAACACCGGUGGCGAAGGCGGCUCUCUGGGCCUUACCUGACGCUGAGGAGCGAAAGCGUGGGUAGCGAACAGG